rnacentral:lncRNA from 1 species
UGAUUCUUAUGUGUUUCUUCUAAUGCGUUUCUUCUAUCUUGUUCUUAUGAGUGCUUCUACUGUAUUUUGCAUGCCUGUUCUAUUAUUAUGUUUUCAUGAGUUUCCUCUACUAGGAAAUACGUGAUAAAAGUCUCAGUUCCUUUGGAAUUUCUGAACUUAUUUUGUUAUUAUUUUUUGUCUGACCUACUUGUUUUCACCUCUAUACUUGAUUAAGGGAAAAGACCCUAGAAUUUGGGGGUUCAUUCGAGUUUUUGAGGCUAAUUGUUAUGUGACUCAUUUGUUUCGUAUCUCUGAACGUGUUUGAUUUUCAAAACCCUUCCUAAAGAUGUUUCAUCUUUGUUUCUCCAUGUGCUUCCGACCUUUUGCUAAAACUCUAUAAGACCUUGUUUACUUGACCUUUUGGCAUGCUUCUGAU